CAAGCAUUUUGCUACACUCGCAUUAACAUCUGCAUGUGACAAAUAAAUUUGAUUUGAUAUCUGCUCUCGGCCGGCACACUCAUUAGGCAGGAUUAGGUGCCUAUGGCGGCAGAUUGAGGAGGGAGGCAUUUUCUGAGCUAAACUGACCAAGACGCACCUCCAACAACAACACAUAAAACCUCACAUAAUUUUGCCCAAAAACAAUGACAAUUUCUCUCAACCAGUGGCAUAUGGGCUUUUUAGGUGAGCGCUAAAUCUGCCCUUUGAUAAGCAGUGCCCACUUUGUCAAAGGCAAGGGCGCAAAAUAUUUUGCUUGUCCAUUCGCAGCGCAACUGUCCAUGGUGCUGUUGAGAGACGCAUCUCUCCAACAGCACCACCAACAGAGCAGGCGUUCCAAUGUUCAGUCAAAAAAAUAUCUAACAUAAAUCAUGUUGCAGAUAUAGGAUAUAGAAAAACUAUGUGGCUUUUUCUGUAGCCUACAGGCUGGAGAAAAAAUGCAUGAGGACACUUUUUUACAUCAUGCAGGUUUCUCCGAUCAAAUAGCCUAACCUAAAUGGCGCUCAAUCAAUAAAAAAAUGUUGAUUAGGUGACCAUGAUGGGUCGAGGGCCAGAUUGGGAAUUUAGCAAGGACACGAGGGUUAACACCCCUACACUUACAAUAAGUGCAACCUUACGGUUACAAUUCCAACGCUCUAACCAAUGAUUUCCACAUCCACGGAUAUUGGUUUUUGGUCCGGUCCAGACCAAAUCUUAACUUGAUUUCAACGUCCACGGAUAUUUAAGGUUCUGAGUGUUUGGUUCAGAUUUGGUGUUCUCCAGACCGCCUUGAUUUCAACGUUCACGAUUGGUUGAUUUUGUCUUGUCCAAACAUAUGAUUGGUUCAGAUUUUGUUCCGUAUUGACCAGCCUUGAUUUGGCCCAAACAUAGAUGUCUAUAAAUGACUUAUUUUCAACUUUCAUUCAGAACCGAAAAUUAACCUGAUUUCAACUUCCGGAAAAUACAUAUUUUUCAACAUCCGGAAAAGAUGCAUUUUCAAUGUCCUGGAAAUAUGUAUUUUAAACAUACAGAAAAUACCUUUUCAUCUUUCAUUCAGAACCUAAAUUGAACCCAACUUCUGGAAAAUACGUCCUUUAGACGUCAUUUUGCUUACUGGAACUAUUCUAGUUUUGCAGGGGAACGCCAUUUUUUGGUCUUGCCUAAAGGCGGCAGAAUCAGUGUUACUAUCAACUCAUAGUGCAGCCCAAUCAGCCACGCAAAACAGUGUUGAGUGGCAGCAAAUCUGUCCAAUUAGCUGAGUCGCUUUCCAUACACCCACUCCUUUCGAAACACUUACUCGCCCAAACUCCGGUCGCCAUAUCGAGUUGCAGCUACCCAUUCUUGAGUUAGUGCCUACAAAAAGACACCAUUACUAUUUCUCUCCAUGGGCGUAGUCCUUCUUCCCAACAUAAUGGCCCUAAAACUACAUCUCCCACGGCGCACAACUGUAGACCUGAAACUGUAUUCCUCAUAAUCGAUGAUCUCAACUUAGUUUCCUCUCUAGUGGCAUGAAGUAGGCUAGCUGGUGGAAGAUAGGUACCGGGGCUAUGGAGCGAGCUGAAAAUACUAUCUGAUAACGGUAUCCGCUGAACUUUUUGUACACAUCAAAAAGUUCAGGACCCAACACAGCCAUGCAGUUCAAAUACAGAAGGCACUGAUUUAUUUUUAUAUGCUUUUCUGUUGUCCUUCAAGUGCUGGCCAAGAUGUCUGUGGAGGAACAGGAAUAUCCAGAGGCGACUCUGGUUGCAGAGGCCGGGCCGCAGUGGUUUCGGGCGGAAUUAGAACGCCUAUCCCGGGAGUUGAGCGACACGACUCAUGAGAAGAUCCAGGCGGCGGAAUACGGGCUUGCGGUGCUCGAAGAGAAGCAACUGCUCAAACAGCGGUAUGAUGAGUUGGAGACUGAGUUCGAGACCGUUCGGCAGGAACUCGACCAGCUGAAGGAGGCGUUUGGUCAGGCCUACUCCACCCAUAGGAAGGUAGCUGCAGAUGGGGAGAGCAGAGAGGAGUCACUGAUGCUGGAGUCAGCCAGUAAGGAGGCCCAAUAUCAGCAGCUGCAGAAUGAGCUGCGGUUGGCCAGAACCGCCCUCACUAGCACCCAAUCAGAGAACGAGCGCCUGGCUGCCGUCGCCCUGGAAAUGAGAGAGAGCUCUGAGCAGGUGGAGUUGCAGCGCACCCAACUGCGUGAUGACAUCCGAGAGUAUAAAGUACGGGAGGCACGUCUGCUGCAGGACUACAGUGAGCUGGAGGAUGAGAACAUCUCCUUGCAGAAACAGGUGUCCCUGCUACGACAGAGCCAGGUGGAGUUUGAGGGUCUGAAGCAUGAGAUCCGUCGCCUGGAGGAAGACUCCCAGUGCCUCCACAGCCAGCAGGAGGAGGUCAUGCGCCUGAGGGAGAUCGCCGAGCGCCAGCUGACCGAGGCUCUGGAGACCAUUAAGACUGAGCGUGAGCAGAAGGCCGCCCUGCGUAAAGAACUGUCCCACUACAUGACCAUUGGGGACAACCUGUUACCAUACCACCACAGUUCCCUCAACGUCUCCCUGGACGGACUCAAGUUCAGCGAGGAUCCCACUGCUGCCACCAACGUGCCGAACAACGAUGACUCGUUCCGCGGCUACGAGAACGGCCUGGCCGAGAUGGCCGCCGACGCCAACGAAGAUAACAAAGCCAAACUUCGGCCCGCCCCCAGCCUAGUGGAUGACCUGCUGAGUGAACUCAACAUCUCAGAAAUCCAGAAACUCAAGCAGCAGCUCAUGCAGGUGGAGCGAGAGAAGGCGGCGCUCCUCUCCUCUCUGCAGGAGUCCCAGAAGCAGCUGGAGGUGGCCCACGGGACUCUGUCAGAGCAGCAGGAGACGGUGGGACGCCUCACCGAGAACCUCAGUGCCAUGAGGAAACUCCAGGCCAGCAAGGAGCGCCACUCUGCCCUGGACAGCGAGAAAGAGCGAGACAGCCGCGAUGACGGUGACGGGGACUACUACGAGUUGGACAUCAACGGGCCUGAGAUCCUACAGUGUAAGUAUACCAUCGCCGUAUCAGAAGCUGGGGAGCUCAGACAGGAGCUGAAGACUCUUAAAGCCGAGUACCAGUCUUGCCGGAGCCAGUACGAAGAAGAGCGAGUCCGCCUGGAGAGCGACGUGGCAGGGCUGAGCGAAAAGCUGACCUCCCUGGAGAAGAGCAGCCGGGAGGAGCACGAGGAGGUGGCAAGGCUGGUGAAAGAGCUGCGGCGAGUGAGUGAAGCGGUUGGCGAGUCGCAGGGAAGCCUGAACGUGGCGCAGGACGAACUGGUGACGUUCAGCGAGGAGCUGGCCAACCUUUAUAACCACGUGUGCAUGUGCAACAACGAGACGCCCAGCCGGGUCAUGCUCGACUACUAUAAGGAAGGAAAGGCCAGUAUAGGGGGCAGGGGCAGCCGAGAGGGGAAGACACAACAUCUGUCCCAUGUUCUGCUCUCCAAUGGGCUGGUUCCUGAAACUGAACCCAUUAAAUCUGAAGCCAGUGAUCCAGCCACCCCAGCCCCAAUCCCAGAGUCCCGUUCAGAGCCCAUGAACAUCUAUAACCUAGUUGCCAUCAUCAGGGACCAGAUCCGUCACCUGCAGCAGGCGGUGGACCGCACCACAGAGCUGAGCCGCCAGAGGAUGGCCUCCAUGGAGCUGGGUACUGUGACCGAUAAGGACAAGGAGGCCUGCAUGGGGGAAAUCCUCAAACUCAAGUCUCUGCUCAGCACCAAGAGAGAGCAGAUUGCCACCCUGAGGACCGUGCUCAAGGCCAACAAACAGACGGCUGAGGUGGCGCUGGCCAACCUGAAGAGUAAAUACGACAACGAGAAGACCAUGGUGACCGAGACCAUGUUGAAGCUCCGCAAUGAGCUCAAGGGCCUGAAAGAGGACGCUGCCACCUUCACCUCAUUACGGGCCAUGUUUGCCACAAGGUGUGACGAGUAUGUGACCCAGCUGGAUGACAUGCAGAGGCAGCUGGCUGCAGCGGAGGAUGAGAAGAAGACCCUGAACUCCCUGCUCCGCAUGGCCAUCCAGCAGAAGCUGGCCCUGACCCAACGACUGGAGGACCUGGAGUUCGACCAUGAACAGGCGCGCCGCGGCGGGGGAGUGGCGGCAGGCGGGCGGGGAAAAACCUCCUCAUUGGCGCGGGGCAAAGGGGCAUCGGCCAAUCAUUAUAAAUCUGUAUGCUGGUGUAACUUGCAUUUACCUCAUAACUCAUGAUCAUCCCUAACCUGCACGUUGAGUACCAUACUUGUGAGUCUUCUGCUUCCUGCAGCCAGUUGCAUCAUGGUCAGCCAAGACUCCACUGUGCACGACUAACCCUUACCAUCCUAACCCCACUGACUCCCCCACCUUACCAUGCCACUAACGCAGUAAUUUGAUCAAGCCCAGUGUCCCCUUCAAAGGUUGACAGUUGCCGAUGAUUACUUCAGUACCCCUACCCCCCACCCCCCGUGUCCAGAGACCCAUGUCAGAGACACACACUGCUGUAAUGCGAGGACUUUGAUUUCUGAGUGCAAACACACACCAGAGUAUGUGAGCGGAGUUGAGCGGUCAGAGAUCCCACUCAUUGCUCACGGAGUAGUCUUCUGCCACUCCAAAUUCGCUCCAUUCAUUUUGUGUUUAAGAAGGAUCAUUUAACGAACACCCCAUCUACUUUUGUGACACUGUACUCAUAUCAACAUCUCUUUGCAUUAGUGAUGGGGUAGGCUAAAUAAAUACAACAGAAUAGGCAUAAUUAAAAGAACAUAAUGAGGGAAAUGCUGGCCAGAGCAUGCUCAAUUGAAGCAGGAUAAAAGGUCGACGCUCCAACGUUUUAGAAAUUCGCUCCACGCUCCAGCCAAAUGAAGCACGCUCCACUUCAGUUCCACUCUGCUCACGCCCUCUGACACACACACACAUAUGCUCCAGGCCCCUAAAGACACACGUGAAAACCCCAGGGGUUUGGUCCCUCUGUGCGGCUACAGGAAACAAGAAAGUCUCCUCGGUAUGAUGACCAAUAGAGUUCUAUUUCUAUGGAUAUGACCGACAGUAUGAUCCUCAUUUGUGAUCGUCACUCACUCCACAUUGCCCACCUCUAUACUAUUAUAACUCUUGUCUUUCCCCCGACUACAGCCGACUCCAACUCAACUCCACGAUUUACGAUGGAGUCGAGUGGUGUCUAGUGUUGGCGAACUGGAGCGCCGAAGUCACAUAAAAACCCACUGUCACGUGUAAUUGCGGGCUAUGUUUUGGGUGCUGAAAUCAUUUGAUGUGAUAGUCGCCGCUCAAUCGGCUACCCGGAUGACUGCGCCAUUUUAAUGUAUUUAUUUAUCUUUGUUUGCUUGUUGUAACUCAGUGAACGUGUGAGGUGUUCAGAAGCUUUCUGUUGCAUUUAAUAAUUGUUGAUAAUUGGAGCAUUCAUAAUAGAAUUUCCAUGGAGAGCAAACCUGUGUUGAUUUAUAUUUAUUCGUAGAGAAAGAUCAGAGGCAGGAAAGUCAUAGGAACUAAAGUGACUUGCUACAGUUUUCCCGAAGGUCAAUAUUCAGUGGGACUCCUAGGCUAAUUAAUGUAAGAAAUCUUGAUUUGAAUGAGUCCUUUCUCUCUUUGUUUUAAAUCUUGUCACAUGUACUUAGAUGUUUUAUUUAACCUUUAUUUAUCCAGGCGAGUCAAUUAAAAACAAAUUAUUCUUUACAAUGACCGCCUGGCAAAUUUUUAUAAUGUUCAAGAAGGCUUUUUGGCACCUUAUUCUUCUAUCUUCUGGUCUUAGUUUUGACUAGUAGUGCCUUUCUGUCCACAAAAGAGAAGCUAGAUUUCGUUUUUUUAUGUUUUCAAUAUCUUUGAGAAGGAAUUUGGGUGAGAGGUUUUGACCCCAGUCAUUACAGAUUGAGGAAAAUAACAGGAACUGUGGUGAAUUCUUUGAAGUGAUUCUGUGAUCCUCCAAACGUGCAGAAUUGCACAUUUAGGGGCUGUUAUUAUGAUUUAUUAUUAUAAAGAAAAAAUGUAUUUUAAACGUUUUGAUACAUUAACUGUUAACUUUGGCUGCCGAGUUUAGUGGCUCGAGGCAUUUACAACAGUGGCUGAUUGAGAGAUUACUAAUGCACAUACUUACUUAUACUCUAGCGUGUGUGGCAAAGGUCAGGCAAAGGUCAUCAUUUCUUUGUCUGUUUUAAUGCAAUUUUAUUAGCCCUUUUUAUGUCCUCUAAUAGAGUUGUCGUGACUUCAGCAAACAGAAGAGGUAAAGUCAUCAACACUUCUGCAGUGCCAUUUAAUUCACAGCUUUGUUGAUGCAAUAAAAGUUACAUUUAUGACUUUUUUUUUUUUUUUUUUUUACAAGUGCAAUUUAAAGAAGUAUCAAUAUGGAAAUACGGUAUAAAAAUGCUGUCUGUUUGCUGAUGCUAUUAUGUUUUACUACUUACUCACAAUCUUGAUCCAAUUUGAGUUUAUCUUUGUACUAAAUAACUUUUGUAUUUAUUUUAAACAAUGUCGUAUUGUCAAUAAUGUGGAUUAUGAUUAGUGGCAUAUUGAUACCAUUUUGAUGUCAUUUUCCAUGUUUUCUUCAAGGGACUUUGGGUGGAGAUGGUGGUCGCAUUCCACUGCUUGGUUCGUUGCAUGCAUCAACCAAUGGCUGCAUGCAGUGUCAUCGACUGACAGAUUGCUAUAACAUAAUGAUGUGGUUAGCUGAUAGGUAAAAUACCUAACCAGGCGUUGUAAGUUCUGGCAACAUCUAAGCAGUGGAAUGCUCAAUAGAAGCCAGUAGCCUACUUACCUAUGUGGUGGUGGUGAUGAUGAUGUUGCACUGGCAAGGUGCAUGCUUAAUAGUAUAAACUUAACUUCAGACUUAAUGUGGCGUUGUUGAGGUUAUUAAAACAUGUAUAUUGAUCCCA